GUUGUGCUUUGUCCGUCUUAUCUCUGGAAUUUGUUAUAUUUUUUAGUGAUUUGUGUCAUAAAAUUGUAUAAAAUACGGUUUUUUAUCGGUCGUCAAGUAUUCUGAGUAAUUUUUUCGUGUCGUGUGUCCAAUAUCUGAAGAAAUCCCUCUGUGCUAGAGAUUCAUUGCAGUUCCUGAAAGACUGCUGGAUCGAUUGACGCCAUUGCUGCGCUGUGAUUGGUCGGUUGAGGUCAGCCAAUCGUGUGGCAGAACAGAGAGAAAGCGACAUCAGCCAACGAUAAUUAGUCGUUGGUUGCAGAUUUAAUUUCUCCCCGUUUGUCAGUUAAAUUGCAGACAUAACCAGCUUGCUAAAACCCACUAAAAAUGUUUGCAGAAAGCAAGGGAGGACUCUAAGUCAGACAAACUGGUGCAUUAGGAUCAUCACAGCCACCAGUAGUCAUCACAACAAGCUGAAACAAAAUUUGUCAAAUUUUCAAACAAUUUCGAAUUUUGAAACAAAUUUCAAAAUUCAGACCUAACGUCAAUCAACGGAAAAAUCUCUUUCAUCAACAGAAAACAAAAAACUAGGAACUACUCAUCAAUAUCUCGCUCAUCAUCUAUCAAUAAUAUCGAUUUAGAAGUUUGGAGAGGACAUCGAUCUUCUAUAUAUCGAUCAUCAAUACAUCUUCAUUCAACUGACAUCUUGAAGGUAUGAACUGAAUGAAUCUUUAUUAUAAUAUUAGAGCCACAUAGACAAAAAAUUCACAGCCAAUACGGCUGAUUGGCUUAGAAAUAUCUUGCCUGAUUGUUUAGAACACAUGUUUUUUAUUCUUUCUUAGUUUUCGACACAAUAAUUAUUAUUAUAUAGAAAAUCAUAUCAAAAAGUAAUUAAGCCCA